rnacentral:rRNA from 1 species
AGCGGCGGACGGGUGAGUAACACGUGGGCAACCUGCCUCAUAGAGGGGAAUAGCCUCCCGAAAGGGAGAUUAAUACCGCAUAAGAUUGUAGCUUCGCAUGAAGUAGCAAUUAAAGGAGCAAUCCGCUAUGAGAUGGGCCCGCGGCGCAUUAGCUAGUUGGUGAGGUAACGGCUCACCAAGGCGACGAUGCGUAGCCGACCUGAGAGGGUGAUCGGCCACAUUGGAACUGAGACACGGUCCAGACUCCUACGGGAGGCAGCAGUGGGGAAUAUUGGGCAAUGGACGCCAGUCUGACCCAGCAACGCCGCGUGAAGGAAGAUGGCUUUCCGGUUGUAAACUUCUUUUGUCAGGGAAGAGUAGAAGACGGUACCUGACCAAUGAGCCGCGGCUAACUACGUGCCCAGCAGCCGCGGUAAUACGUAGGUGGCCAGCGUUGUCGGGAAUUACUGGGUGUAAAGGGAGUGUAGCCGGGUCCGCAAGUCACAUGUGACAUCCGCGGGCUCCAACUCGUGAACUGGAAUUGAAGCUGCUGAUCUUGAUUAUCCGCACACGCAAUCGGAAUUCCUUGUGUAGCGGGAAAAUGCGUAGAUAUAAGGAAGACCACCAGUGGCGAAGGCGGAUUUACUGGACGACAACUGACGGUGAGGCGCGAAAGCGUGGGGAGCAAACAGGAUUAGAUACCCUGGUAGUCCACGCUGUAAACGAUCAAUACUAGGUGUGCGGGGACUGACCCCCUGCGUGCCGCAGUUAACACAAUAAGUAUUGCACCUGGGGAGUACGAUCGCAAGGUUGAAACUCAAAGGAAUUGACGGGGGCCCGCACAAGCGGUGGAUUAUGUGGUUUAAUUCGAAGCAACGCGAAGAACCUUACCAGGGCUUGACAUCCUGCUAACGAAGUAGAGAUACAUUAGGUGCCCUUCGGGGAAAGCAGAGACAGGUGGUGCAUGGUUGUCGUCAGCUCGUGUCGUGAGAUGUUGGGUUAAGUCCCGCAACGAGCGCAACCCCUAUUGUUAGUUGCUACGCAAGAGCACUCUAGCGAGACUGCCGUUGACAAAACGGAGGAAGGUGGGGACGACGUCAAAUCAUCAUGCCCCUUAUGUCCUGGGCUACACACGUAAUACAAUGGUGGUUAACAGAGGGAUGCAAAACCGCGAGGUGGAGCGAACCCCUAAAAGACGUCCCAGUUCAGAUUGUAGGCUGCAACUCGCCUGCAUGAAGUCGGAAUCACUAGUAAUCGCGGAUCAGCAUGCCGCGGUGAAUACGU